ensembl:processed_transcript
CAAGGAACAUUUGUGUCGUGGCUGCCGAAAUCACGUGCAUGUGUGGUAAAAGUCCAAAGAUGGCGGUUAAAACAAGUAAAAGAAACAGAAGUUUGGGGUCUAUCUUUUCAUCUUCGUCGUCAUCCAGCGUCGUAGGCGUGAUAAGGUAAUGCAGUUGCAGGAUAAGCAACACCGUUAUUCAUGCAACAUCGCGGGCCAUAGGAACAAGCAGAGCAGCCUACUCUAUAUGAGUUUCCAUGUGAGUCAUAUCCAAAGUAAACUUCUCCGAACCUCGGCCAAGAAGGUCUCAUGAGUUGGGAAAGAGGUGGAGACAAAGAGAAGGAAAAGACGAGCUCUGACCUUUGAUGGGAAUGGAUCUUAUCAUCUCCGGGCGCCGCCUCUCUUGGGAGCCUUUGGGAUUUCACAGGCAUACCAAUCAUCUGCUGUCCAACGGAGGGAAGCUUCAGGAGACCAUUAUGCUUACAAUAUUGGUGGAGAGUUAUGGCUCUACUUUGUAUUUAGGCUCUCUGGGUUACAUUUAUCUUUUUUAUCGCAGUUGCAUUUAUUCUCCCACGUUGGAGUCAGCCUUUAUAGUUUGAAACUCACUUUUAUCCUGUUAAGUAACCCACAAAUAACCAUUUUGGGGUAAUUCUCAUACAAUAGAAGUCUUUGCAUUACAACACUCAUGCAGAUCACAUGACAAUAUAUGAAUACUAGAGUUUGCAUUUAUUUUUUAUUAUAGUUUGAAAUGAUAUCUACUCCCUAAAAGCUGGUUUUGAGCCGCUGCGUUAUUGCUUUCCAAGAUGAGAGAGGCUACGGGGGUCAAUGUGAAAUGACAUGCAGAACGGCGCACACUCAUUGUGAGCUCUGUCGAGGGCCCCUCGAUAGAUUGUGUGAGGAUUUGCAGAAACUUUUGGCAAGGAUGAUGGCUGUCUGAAAUAUCAGAACCUAGAAGCAAUGCGUUAUGCCAACCUGCCAGCUGGCAUGCCUGCUUUUGUAGUAACUCUACAGAGUAAAAGUUUCACUGUAAUGCCAAGAUGGUUGAAAGGGGAUCAAAUAUAAAUAUUAGCUUUCUAGAACAAUGCAAUUCCAUUUGAUGUCAGAGUGAGCUGAUUUUAAUUAACAGGCUUACAUAGUUUUUGAUCAAUGCAGUACCACAGCAUUGUUCUUUGUUUGAUUUUUCUUAAUUAAUAAUGGAGAAUACUCAUUUAUUGUAAAAUAAAUGAAGUGUGUGAAAGUC